rnacentral:rRNA from 1 species
UAGAGCGGCGGACGGGUGAGUAACACGUGGACAAUCUGCCCCCCGGCCCGGGAUAGCCCAGGGAAACCUGGAUUAAUACCGGAUGAGACGGGACCCGCGAUGGCGGGACCCGGGAAAGGCGCUGCGGCGCCGGCCGGGGGAUGAGUCUGCCGUCCCAUUAGCUAGACGGCGGGGUAACGGCCCACCGUGGCGACGAUGGGUAGCCGGCCUGAGAGGGUGGACGGCCACAUUGGAACUGAGACACGGUCCAGACUCCUACGGGAGGCAGCAGCUAAGAAUCUUCCGCAAGUGGGACGAAAGCCUGACGGAGCGAACCGCCGCGUGAACGAAGAAGGCCGUGAGGUUAGUAAAGUUUCGUUUUCGGGAGGGGGGAACAACCGUGGCAGGGAAUGGCCGCGGGAUGACGUGAAUCCCGGAAUAAGCCCCGGCUAACUACGUGCCAGCCGCUGC